GGGCUCGUAGCUCAGCUGGGAGAGCGCCGCGUUCGCAACGCGGAGGUCGAGGGUUCGAUCCCCUUCGGGUCCA
rnacentral:tRNA from 2 species